UACGUAGGGUGCGAGCGUUGUCCGGAAUUAUUGGGCGUAAAGGGCUCGUAGGCGGUUUGUCGCGUCGGGAGUGAAAACCUCGGGCUUAACUCGGGGCUUGCUUCGAUACGGGCAGACUGGAGGUAUGCAGGGGAGAACGGAAUUCCUGGUGUAGCGGUGAAAUGCGCAGAUAUCAGGAGGAACACCGGUGGCGAAGGCGGUCUCUGGGCAUGACCUGACGGCUGAGGAGCGAAAGUGUCGGGGAGCGAACAGG
rnacentral:rRNA from 1 species